UAUUGGUAAAAAUUUGUUGUUGCCUUUGAGUGUCUCUUUUGCAUAUUAAUUAUAUUGCUUGAGAUUUACUGUCGAAACAUGGGUUCUUUAGCAUGUAGAGGAAGGCACAUCAAGUAUACCUCUACAUUUACACAACUGCUCCACCGUAACAGCAAUGUUCUUGUUUGUCAAAACAUGUGAAUUGUUGAUCAAAUGAAGUUACUAGGCUUGGAAAUGAUUUGCGGAUUGUCUUCAUACCUGUGAUGUCUGAGUAUGACUAUAUGAGCAUCUCUGCAUUAAUUUUUUGUGUUCACAAAUAGCUACAUUACCAAAUUAGCAAGUUUAUGGUUAAUACAUGAUGGUAAUGUAGGUUUUGUUUCUCUAUAAAAGUUUAGAUAGUCAAGUUUGUGGUUAAGACAUGCUGACCUAUAACUUUUUCACUAUUAAGUAACCUUCUUGUCCUGCCUGAUGCUUUUAACAUAGUCCUAAGGUUAGAUUUUAUUAAUUCAAAUAACUAUGGGGAGUCUGAAGUCUAUAUUUGUCACUCUCUCAUCUCUCUCCCAACAAAAAAAGUUAUUUAUAUUCAAUAACUUGACAUGACUUUCAUGCUGCAGUAUGAAGUGUAUUUAUUGACAUCGAAGUGAGAAUAAUUUUUGCUUAAUUUCUUUCUUCUCACAUACCCCCUAUUUCGUCAGUUCAUUCUUCAAUAUAAUAUUAUAAUGUAGAGAGAUAUGGGAGCAGAAGAGGUUCGUACUGAGAUAUAUGGUAUAUUUGGUUACAAUGUGGUAACAAUGAUUUUAAUUUGGAUAAAUUCAAUGCUUAGUGACAUCUGACAUCUUGCUUUUGCAAUGAAUGGUUCCAUCUAUUUUUAAUCAUUUCGAGCUCAGACAACUAAGUUUUAUUUUGGAAACUUUUGAGCCUAGGAUCAAAAUGUAUUUACUUCCGACGUUUAAUAUGCAAAAGUAAUGUUAAUUAUUUGUUUAUGUUUCGGAUAGAAUUGUAAAAAGUUCAUACUGAUUUUUGUGAAUUACUUAGUCCUCAUUUUCUGAUAGCUGUAUGAGUGUAAUUAAGGGGUGUGGUGUGGGAACUAGAAAAACUUGUAAAUUACGAGCUUAUAUAUUCCAGAGGAAGUGUUUUGUUUCAAAUACAAAUACUUACAAGGAUGGGUUUCACGUUCAUUCUUCCACAAUCACGUAAACACUGUAAACUAAACUAGUGGGCUUAUCAUGUAUCAAAAAUAAAGAUUUAGUUUCGGAUGAGCCUUGACCCAAAAUCAAUGUUUCUCACAGAGCCCAAACUUAAUACGAUUCUAUGAAUAUUCUUUAGCCCUGGGCUCCUGGAUAAUUGACUAUAUUUACUUGGCCCUGUAUUUUUUGCCUCAUUCACAAAUUUAUGCCGAUGAAAUUAUUCAGUCAAGAGCAAUAGAUAAGCCAAUGAUUGUUGUUUUCAACUACGACGAUUAAGGAACAAGUACAAACAUUUAGACUAUUUGUUCCAUGUGUUCUUUCUUGCUCGAUACUGCUAGUUUCUUGGGGAGAACUCUUUCAGGGGAAGGACUGCAGAUUUCUUUUACAUGCUUUUGUUUGGAGCAACAUUUUUAACAGGCACUGUUCUUAUUGGGGGAAUGAUACCUUAUUUGUCAGAAUCAUUUGCAAAAUUCAUAUUCCUUAGCAAUUCAUUGACACUCAUGAUGGUGUAUGAGUGGAGCAAACAAAAUCCUUUCAUCCAUAUGAGUUUUUUGGGUUUGUUUACAUUUACCGCAGCUUAUCUACCAUGGUUCAUGGGGAAAAAAAUAUACAUAAAUGCGGAGAUCGAUGAAGUUAGAGGAGAAUGGACGAUGUACGUAUCAAAAUGUUUCAUUGAUGUCAAAGCGUCAAUGAUGGAAGAAAUAUGUAUCAAACGUUUGUUGAAUGAUAUGAUACUAUUGUUGAAUUUCCUUUACUAAAUUAAUUGAAAGAUUGUUGAAUGUUUAAAUUUAUGAAUGAAUUAUG